AGCUCCAAUAGCGUAUACUAACGUUGUUGCAGUUAAAAAGCUCGUAGUUGGAUUUCUGUAGAGCGUUCGAUUCGUGUACCUCCUAGGUUCCGAUAUUGUUCGUUUUGCAACAUUUGAUUGAUUAUGGCUUGGUGACUUUAUUGCCAUCAACCGUGUUCAGUCUCGUUUACUUUGAGAAAAUUAGAGUGUUCAAAGCAGGCUUAUUGCCUUGAAUAUGUUAGCAUGGAAUAAUAGCAUAGGACUUCUGUCCUAAUUGUUGGUUGUUCGUACAGAAGUAAUGAUUGAUAGGGACGGUUGGGGGCAUCCGUAUUCUCAAGCGAGAGGUGAAAUUCUUGGACCUUGGGAAGACGAACAGCUGCGAAAGCGUUUGCCUAGGACGUUCUCUUUAAUCAAGAACGAAA
rnacentral:rRNA from 1 species